UACGUAGGGGGGCAAGCGUUGUCCGGAAUUAUUGGGCGUAAAAGAGCGCGUAGGCGGUCCGGUAAGUCGGUUGUGAAAAGUCGGGGGGCUCAACCCUCGGAUGCCGAUCGAUACUGUCGGGCUAGAGUCCGGAAGAGGCGAGUGGAAUUCCACGUGUAGCAGUGAAAUGCGUAGAGAUGUGGAGGAACACCGAUGGCGAAGGCAGCCCCCUGGGUCAAGAUUGACGCUCAUGCACGAAAGCGUGGGGAGCAAACAGG
rnacentral:rRNA from 1 species